rnacentral:rRNA from 1 species
AUGGCAGCUCCAAGAGCUCUCGUCCUCGGCCUCCUGCUGGUGGUCACUGUCGCCAACGUCGGGGCCGCGUCCGUGGUGGUCGGCCUGGCCAAGUGCGCCGGCUGCACCAGGAAGGACAUGAAGGCCGAGGAAACGUUCAAGCGUCUCCGGGUGGCGAUCAAGUGCAGGAACGCCCACGGCGAGUACGAGAGCAAGGCGGUGGGCGGCCUCGACCGCACCGGCGCCUUCAGCGUGCCCCUGGCCGCCGACCUCCAAGGCGCCGACUGCGUCGCGCAGCUCCACAGCGCCGCCUCCAACGCGCCGUGCCCCGGCCAGGAGCCGUCCAAGAUCGUGCCGCUGUCCGAGGGCGCCACCACCUUCGGCGUCGUCGCCGGCGCCAAGACCACCGCCACGCAGUCGGUGGCGUCCCCGGAGUGCGCGUCGGCCUUCUGCCCCUCGACCACGCAAAAGAAGCCCCGCGGCGGCGGCCACCACAAGAAGAAGCACAACCCGCACAAGCCUGAGACCAAGGCCCUGCCGUAA